UACGAAGGGGGGCUAGCGUUGUUCGGAUUUACUGGGCGUAAAGCGCACGUAGGCGGAUCGAUCAGUCAGGGGUGAAAUCCCAGAGCUCAACUCUGGAACUGCCUUUGAUACUGUCGAUCUGGAGUAUGGAAGAGGUGAGUGGAAUUCCGAGUGUAGAGGUGAAAUUCAUAGAUAUUCGGAGGAACACCAGUGGCGAAGGCGGCUCACUGGUCCAUUACUGACGCUGAGGUGCGAAAGCGUGGGGAGCAAACAGG
rnacentral:rRNA from 1 species